AAAUGAAAUCAAGGGCAGUACAAGCGAAAAGAAAAAAGAAAAAAACGAAAUGGUUGGUUGGUUAUUUAUUUAUUAGUUGAGGGGUGGAUUGUGUUUUCUUCAGGUCUUCUUCUUAUUUCCUUUUUUAUACUUUUUCUUUUGCUUUG
rnacentral:RNase_P_RNA from 13 species